GAUGAACGCUGACAGAAUGCUUAACACAUGCAAGUCUACCUGAACUUCGGUUUGGGUGGCGGACGGGUGAGUAACGCGUAAAGAACUUGCCUCACAGAUAGGGACAACAUUUGGAAACGAAUGCUAAUACCUGAUAUUAUGAUUUUAGGGCAUCCUAGAAUUAUGAAAGCUAUAUGCACUGUGAGAGAGCUUUGCGUCCUAUUAGCUAGUUGGAGAGGUAACGGCUCACCAAGGCGAUGAUGGGUAGCCGGCCUGAGAGGGUGAUCGGCCACAAGGGGACUGGGACACGGCCAGUACUCCUACGGGAGGCAGCAGUGGGGAAAUUUGGAAAAGGGACCAAGAGUGUGAUCCAGCAAUUCUGUGUGCAAGAUGAAGUUUUUCGGAAUGAAAAGCGCUUUCAGUUGAGAAGAAAAAAAUGACGGUACCAACAGAAGAAGUAACGGCUAACUACGUG
rnacentral:rRNA from 1 species